GUGCCAGCCGCCGCGGUAAUACGUAGGGGGCAAGCGUUGUCCGGAUUUAUUGGGCGUAAAGAGCGUGUAGGCGGCCAAACAGGUCCACUGUGAAAACUCGAGGCUCAACCUCGAGAGGUCGGUGGAAACCGUAUGGCUAGAGUCCGGAAGAGGAGUGUGGAAUUCCUGGUGUAGCGGUGAAAUACGCAGAUAUCAGGAGGAACACCAAUGGCGAAGGCAGCACUCUGGGACGGUACUGACGCCGAGACGCGAAAGCGUGGGGAGCGAACAGGAUUAGAUACCCCAGUAGUCA
rnacentral:rRNA from 1 species